GCGGAUGUAGCCAAGUGGAUCAAGGC
rnacentral:tRNA from 4 species